rnacentral:hammerhead_ribozyme from 1 species
AUCCAGUUGACGAAUCCCAAAUGAGAUGAAAUGUGCAUCCUGGAU